GCAGCAAAAUUGCUGCAACUUGCAACAAAAUCUGAUUUCAACGCAUGUUAAGUGGAAAUGUCGACACAUGCAUGUUGCCGUGUGAUUUGUAAUUUAUGAUUGUGUAAACAUUUUUAAUUAACAUGCGUUGAAAUCAGAUUUUGUUGCAAGUUGCAGCAAUUUUGUUG